UACGUAGGGGGCAAGCGUUGUCCGGAAUCAUUGGGCGUAAAGAGCGUGUAGGCGGCCUGGUAAGUCCGCUGUGAAAGUCCAGGGCUCAACCCUGGAAUGCCGGUGGAAACUGUCAGGCUCGAGUCCGGAAGAGGCGAGUGGAAUUCCUGGUGUAGCGGUGAAAUGCGCAGAUAUCAGGAGGAACACCAAUGGCGAAGGCAGCUCACUGGGACGGUACUGACGCUGAGACGCGAAAGCGUGGGGAGCGAACAGG
rnacentral:rRNA from 1 species